GAAAUACGUGAAAUAUUGUUAUAGAGAACAGACGUGCAAUUUGAUAAGAGUUCCGUUAAAUAGAGCUCACAAUGACUGUCACAGAGUUGAGCAACAAGACAAGUUUCCGUUACAACAGCAAAUCAUGCCAGUGAACAAAUUUUCAACACUCGUUUCACUAUAACUGAUCUUAUCUAAUGUUCUUUAGAUUUGAAGAGCAUCAGCUAUUGAUCCUGCCAAACUAAUAACUUCAAAUGGAGCCUUAUUGGCGACGGCUUUCACAGUAUGAGGACAUGAAUCUGUCGUCCAAAAGUAAGUGAAUGCUUUCUCAGAGCCAUCAUUCUUGUGAAGAAAACGCUCCCAUGACCGGUUUGGGAAAAUUCCAUGGGUCACAUAAGCACUAACUUUUGAUGCACCAUGAGAGGCCAAAACUUUCUGGCAUUCAAUUAGGGUACCUCCAGACUGGACCAAAUCGUCAACAAUGACCACAUGACAGCCAGCAGGAUUACCCUCUUUUAGCCUGACGAUUCUCUUAUCACCUUCACGCACUUUAGUGCAGAUAACAGUGGGAUAAUGAACUAGUUGCUUGUGAAACCUCUUCCAAGCUCCAUCAUCAGGAAAGGCUAUAACUAUCUUUUCAGAGUUAGGAAGUUGCUGAAGACGUUGCUUCAGCAGUGGAAUUCCAGUCUCAAACAGAGGCAGCACAUUAUCUCCAAAAUAGAACCUCUCCUGCAAUGCAUGUAUGUCAUAGAUAACUAAGCUGGUUGGACCACCCCUUGAUAUUGGAAUAUUUGAUAUUAUUCUGGCCAUGGUAAAUGCAGUGGCCACAUCUCCUUCUUCCUCCAUCCUCUCAAAGGUACCAGUUGGGAAGAAAGGUAACACAAGCGUAAAUGAGGCGACAAACAGCCUUGGAAGUGCGAAUAUCACAGAAAGCUGUUCAAAGAUGACUGCAGGUGAGCUGAAAGAUGCUAGAAAAGCAACAUGCUGCCCGCGGAUAUCAUGUGCAUUGUUUAUAAAGAGAUUUGGGAAACCAUCAGCAAAACUCCUCCAGUUAAUAGAAUGGAGGGUAAUAGAAUCGGAUUCCGAAGCGAUUUUGCGAGCAACAUCUUCCAUCUCAACACAGUAAUAGAGAAGCACUUGCUUCUUCAUCUUCUUCAUAGCUGAAUUCUCCAUCAAAACCCCACAGUAGCAGAG
rnacentral:misc_RNA from 1 species